rnacentral:rRNA from 1 species
AGGCAACCUGCCCUCAAGUUUGGGACAACUACCGGAAACGGUAGCUAAUACCGAAUAGUUGUUUUCUUCGCCUGAAGGAAACUGGAAAGACGGAGCAAUCUGUCACUUGGGGAUGGGCCUGCGGCGCAUUAGCUAGUUGGUGGGGUAACGGCUCACCAAGGCGACGAUGCGUAGCCGACCUGAGAGGGUGAUCGGCCACACUGGGACUGAGACACGGCCCAGACUCCUACGGGAGGCAGCAGUAGGGAAUCUUCCGCAAUGGGCGAAAGCCUGACGGAGCAAUGCCGCGUGAGUGAUGAAGGUUUUCGGAUCGUAAAGCUCUGUUGCCAGGGAAGAACGCUUGGGAGAGUAACUGCUCUCAAGGUGACGGUACCUGAGAAGAAAGCCCCGGCUAACUACGUGCCAGCAGCCGCGGUAAUACGUAGGGGGCAAGCGUUGUCCGGAAUUAUUGGGCGUAAAGCGCGCGCAGGCGGUCAUUUAAGUCUGGUGUUUAAUCCCGGGGCUCAACCCCGGAUCGCACUGGAAACUGGGUGACUUGAGUGCAGAAGAGGAGAGUGGAAUUCCACGU